CCUACGGGUGGCAGCAGUGAGGAAUAUUGGUCAAUGGACGCGAGCCUGAACCAGCCAAGUAGCGUGAAGGAUGACUGCCCUACGGGUUGUAAACUUCUUUUAUAUGGGAAUAAAAUGUUCCACGUGUGGCUUUUUGUAUGUACCAUAUGAAUAAGGAUCGGCUAACUCCGUGCCAGCAGCCGCGGUAAUACGGAGGAUCCGAGCGUUAUCCGGAUUUAUUGGGUUUAAAGGGAGCGUAGGUGGAUUGUUAAGUCAGUUGUGAAAGUUUGCGGCUCAACCGUAAAAUUGCAAUUGAAACUGGCAGUCUUGAGUACAGUUGAGGUAGGCGGAAUUCGUGGUGUAGCGGUGAAAUGCUUAGAUAUCACGAAGAACUCCGAUUGCGAAGGCAGCUUACUAAACUGCCACUGACACUGAGGCUCGAAAGUGUGGGUAUCAAACAGGAUUAGAUACCCUAGUAGUC
rnacentral:rRNA from 1 species